rnacentral:rRNA from 1 species
UACGAAGGGGGCUAGCGUUGCUCGGAAUUACUGGGCGUAAAGCGCGCGUAGGCGGCUGAUUAAGUCGGGUGUGAAAGCCCCGGGCUCAACCUGGGAAUUGCAUCCGAUACUGAUUGGCUAGAGUAUGAGAGAGGGAGGUAGAAUUCCACGUGUAGCGGUGAAAUGCGUAGAUAUGUGGAGGAAUACCGGUGGCGAAGGCGGCCUCCUGGCUUAAUACUGACGCUGAGGUGCGAAAGCGUGGGGAUCAAACAGG